CGGUCCCCCCUAAACAAGGGGGCCGGGGAAGGUCCUCUCACACCCUUGUGUACCUUACCAUGUUGCUUUGGCGGGCCGACCCGGUUUCGACCCGGGCGGCCGGCGCCCCCAGCCCUCACCGGCCAGGACGUCAGGCUAAGCGCCCGCCAGUAUACAAAACUCCAGCGUUUAUUUCGUGCAGUUCUGAUAAAUUAUUCAAUUAAUUAAAACUUUCAACAACGGAUCUCUUGGUUCUGGCAUCGAUGAAGAACGCAGCGAAAUGCGAUAAGUAAUGUGAAUUGCAGAAUUCAGUGAAUCAUCGAAUCUUUGAACGCACAUUGCGCCCUCUGGUAUUCCGGAGGGCAUGCCUGUUCGAGCGUCAUUUCAACCCUCAAGCUCUGCUUGGUAUUGGGCGACGUCCGCUGCCGGACGCGCCUCGAAGACCUCGGCGACGGCGUCUUAGCCUCGAGCGUAGUAGUAACAUCUCGCUUUGGAGUGCUAGGCGUUGGCCGCCGG
rnacentral:rRNA from 1 species